ACACGAGUGGCGCACGGGUGAGUAACACGUGAGUAACCUGCCUUUAACAUUGGGAUAACAGUUGGAAACGACUGCUAAUACCGAAUAAUAUAUAUUGCUGAUAGGGUGAUAUAUCAAAGGAGCAAUCCGGUUUUAGAUGGACUCGCGUAUCAUUAGAUAGUUGGUGAGGUAAUGGCUCACCAAGUCAUAGAUGAUUAGCUGGUUUGAGAGGAUGAUCAGCCACACUGGAACUGAGACACGGUCCAGACUCC
rnacentral:rRNA from 1 species